CUUUAGGGCGGGCUGUGUGGGGACACCCGCGAGGGUGUGCCGGUUCCUUCUGCCGGUCGUCCAACCCUACACGGUCUGCCACCCUC
rnacentral:antisense_RNA from 1 species